GAAACACCUUAACCAAAGAAGGUAAGAAGGACCUAAAGGGGAUGACAAGACUUCCCAUGGCCUUAGACCAUUGCUCACUGACCACUGCUGUAGCCAAGCUUCAAGUUGGUAGGUGCUCCCCUUUAUUAGCUGUAAUUUCCACAAGCAAAUCUUUUUUCUUUCUGUGUGUGGAUGAAUCCCAGACACAAAUAUUAUAUAAGUGAAAUGCAUAUAAUUAACUAAUUGGUAUAAAUACACACAAAAAAAAUNNAUAUAAUUUCCAUUAUUAAUUCUGUUAGUAAAUCCACAGUGUCUACAUAAAUUUACUAAGGAAUUNUAGUGCUGAGAUCUGAAUGCACAAUCUGUAGUUUGGUUAUAUAUAUAUUCAUUUUCUUCCUUUGUGUAGAUUCCAAACAGCAGUACAAGAAGANNNUGGAGUCUCAAGGAUGGCCUCCAGCCACUGGAAUGAAACCACAACCUCUGUUUACCAGUACCUUGGGUUUCAAGUGCAAAAGAUUUACCCUUU
rnacentral:lncRNA from 1 species